rnacentral:rRNA from 1 species
GAUGAACGCUGGCGGCGUGCCUAAUACAUGCAAGUCGAGCGAACAGACGAGGAGCUUGCUCCUCUGACGUUAGCGGCGGACGGGUGAGUAACACGUGGAUAACCUACCUAUAAGACUGGGAUAACUUCGGGAAACCGGAGCUAAUACCGGAUAAUAUAUUGAACCGCAUGGUUCAAUAGUGAAAGACGGUUUUGCUGUCACUUAUAGAUGGAUCCGCGCCGCAUUAGCUAGUUGGUAAGGUAACGGCUUACCAAGGCAACGAUGCGUAGCCGACCUGAGAGGAGGACGGGCAAAAGUGGAACUGAGACACGGCCCAGCCUCCUCGGGGAGGCAGAAGUGGGGAAUCUUGGAAAAUGGGGGCAGCCCUGAGGGAGCAGCCCGGGGGGGGGGAGGAAGGUCUUCGGAUGUAAAAACACUUUUAUAAGGAAAGAAAAAUUGGGAAAUAAACAACCCACGUCUUGAGGGUACCUAAAGAAAAAGCCCCGGCAAGGUACGUG